rnacentral:rRNA from 1 species
CAGCAGCCGCGGUAAUACGGAGGGUGCAAGCGUUAAUCGGAAUUACUGGGCGUAAAGCGCACGCAGGCGGUUUGUUAAGUCAGAUGUGAAAUCCCCGGGCUCAACCUGGGAACUGCAUCUGAUACUGGCAAGCUUGAGUCUCGUAGAGGGGGGUAGAAUUCCAGGUGUAGCGGUGAAAUGCGUAGAGAUCUGGAGGAAUACCGGUGGCGAGGGCGGCCCCCUGGACGAAGACUGACGCUCAGGUGCGAAAGCGUGGGGAGCAAACAGGAUUAGAUACCCGAGUAGUCCCUGUCUCUUAUAC